rnacentral:rRNA from 1 species
UAUUAGAGCUUGCUCUUAAGAAGUUAGCGGCGGACGGGUGAGUAACACGUGGGUAACCUGCCCAUAAGACUGGGAUAACUCCGGGAAACCGGGGCUAAUACCGGAUAGCAUUUUGAACCGCAUGGUUCGAAAUUGAAAGGCGGCUUCGGCUGUCACUUAUGGAUGGACCCGCGUCGCAUUAGCUAGUUGGUGAGGUAACGGCUCACCAAGGCGACGAUGCGUAGCCGACCUGAGAGGGUGAUCGGCCACACUGGGACUGAGACACGGCCCAGACUCCUACGGGAGGCAGCAGUGGUCAUAG